AAUUCAGUCAAAAUGCUCAAACCGGCUGUGCCUGUGGGCACAGCCCAGAGUGCGCCCAGCCAGUGGGAAACAGGCUUACUCCGCAGGGAGAGCUCCACCACCAGCACGCCCCCAGUCUGGUCCCGGAGCAGGCGCUUCCGUUUGUCGCAGGUCUGAUGACCCCCGAGAGGAAGGAUGAGAACAAAGGAAGGGAAAGAAGAGGGAAUUAGAAAAAGAAAGAAAAAGAAAGUCACCAACUGGAUGGAGUAAAAAUUCUCCAGUCAACUCAUACUAGUUGGCUUAUAUUUAUUUAUUUGUUUUAAAUAAUUCUGAGAACCCAGGAGGAAAGCGUCAGUAAAUUAAGAAUUCAAGUUGGAAGAAAUCCUGCUUGGUCCUUUCUACCACACGUGGGAGGAGUGGACCCACAUCUUUUGAUAAAAAACCACAGCUGAAGAUAUUCUGAGGACUUUGAGAAGACAGAGAUGGUGACUGGUCCCUAAACUCACUUCCGGCUCAUAAAUGGGUGAUGCCUAGCCUGCUGCCCCUCUGAGACUCUCUGUGAGGACUGCCUCCUGGAUCUGGCCUGGAAGGGCCAGUUUUUGGUGGAGAGGUCUGUGACUGGCCAGCAUGGGCUCAUGGAGGGCGGAACUCACCCCACCAGCACCUGCUCCUGAGGGAAUGGACUAAUCCUCAAAUCUGGCCUAAAGCUUUCAGUUAAAUCCUUUGUCAGAUGCCAGCCAGUAAGUGAUAGGACACAGAGCCUGUGAGAUGAGUGUCACCCCCAUCUACUCAGUCAAUAAGCAGAGUGAGACCUGCUUUCCAACCAACCUGACUGUGAAGGAUCUUUCCACCCACAUUGUGAUUCUUGACCUGAAUAUACUCUUGAUCUGCUGGGAGUGUGGACACGAUGCUCAGGUGUCACAACCAUUUCGGAAUCACAGGGACAGAAUCCGCAGCAGAGGAUCAAGCGUGGUUUCCGUGGCACUUCUCUAGUUAUGAGCGAUCCACCUCUGUGGUUCUUGAUGAGUGUCAAAACUAUGCCCCCUCCUUGCUGAAGCCACCAGUUACUGACCUUCUGUUCGCUGAUGGUAGAUUCGUGGCAUUUUAUCCAAUCCAGCAUUAUUUGGGUCUGCCCUUUAUUUCUCCAUGCUCCAGGCCAAAUUAUGGACUCUCAGUGGAGAACUUCUGGGGCCAUGUUCUCAAGGACAGGCCUGACCCAGCAAGGGGCCUGUUUCAGAGGCUCCUCUCAGUGGGGGUUAUAGCGUCCGGCUGUUUUCACUGACCUGCUUUUAUCUAGGCUGAGAAGCUUCUCUGUCCUGAGGCUCCCUUUUGUGACUGCUAUGGUUUGGGAUGUCAUUUGUCCCCCAGGGGUUAUGUGCUGGAGGCCUGGUCCUCAGUGUGGUGGUGUUCAGGUGUUGGGACCUGAAAGCGGAGGGGCCAAGUGCAAGGUGAUUAGGUCACCGGCUGCCCCUUGAAGGGAUUAAUGCUCUUCUUGGGGAGUUGGUUCUUGAGCGACUGUUGUUAUGAAAUGAGGCCACCCCACCCACCUGGUCUUUACUGCAAGUGGCUGGCUUCCUUCCUACUUCUCUAUCAUGUUAUGAUGCAGACAGGGGCCCCCACAAGAGGCCAAACAGAUGGCACCAUUUGGUCUUGGAUUUUGGCCUCCAAAACGGAGCUAAAUAAACCUUUUUUAAAAUACAAUGCUCAGCCUCAAGGAUUUUGUUAUAGCAACAGAAAACAGAGCAAUAAAGUAAGCCAAU